CCCAUUUGGGGGCAGGCCUAACACAUGCAGUCGACGGUAGCACAGAGAGCUUGCUCUCGGGUGACGAGUGGCGGACGGGUGAGUAAUGUCUGGGAAACUGCCUGAUGGAGGGGGAUAACUACUGGAAACGGUAGCUAAUACCGCAUAACGUCGCAAGACCAAAGAGGGGGACCUUCGGGCCUCUUGCCAUCAGAUGUGCCCAGAUGGGAUUAGCUAGUAGGUGGGGUAACGGCUCACCUAGGCGACGAUCCCUAGCUGGUCUGAGAGGAUGACCAGCCACACUGGAACUGAGACACGGUCCAGACUCCUACGGGAGGCAGCAGUGGGGAAUAUUGCACAAUGGGCGCAAGCCUGAUGCAGCCAUGCCGCGUGUAUGAAGAAGGCCUUCGGGUUGUAAAGUACUUUCAGCGGGGAGGAAGGUGUUGUGGUUAAUAACCGCAGCAAUUGACGUUACCCGCAGAAGAAGCACCGGCUAACUCCGUGCCAGCAGCCGCGGUAAUACGGAGGGUGCAAGCGUUAAUCGGAAUUACUGGGCGUAAAGCGCACGCAGGCGGUCUGUCAAGUCGGAUGUGAAAUCCCCGGGCUCAACCUGGGAACUGCAUUCGAAACUGGCAGGCUGGAGUCUUGUAGAGGGGGGUAGAAUUCCAGGUGUAGCGGUGAAAUGCGUAGAGAUCUGGAGGAAUACCGGUGGCGAAGGCGGCCCCCUGGACAAAGACUGACGCUCAGGUGCGAAAGCGUGGGGAGCAAACAGGAUUAGAUACCCUGGUAGUCCACGCCGUAAACGAUGUCGAUUUGGAGGUUGUGCCCUUGAGGCGUGGCUUCCGGAGCUAACGCGUUAAAUCGACCGCCUGGGGAGUACGGCCGCCAGGUUAAAACUCAAAUGAAUUGACUGGGGCCCGCACAAGCGGUGGAGCAUGUGGUUUAAUUCGAUGCAACGCGAAAAACCUUACCUGGUCUUGACAUCCACGGAACUUUCCAGAGAAGGAUUGGGGGCCUUCUGCAACGGUGAAACAGGAGCUGCGUGGCUGUCAUCAACCCCUCGUCGCCAAAUGUCGGGAUUAAGUCGCGUCAACCAGCGGGAACCGUUCUCUUCUCGUUGCCACCGGUUCAAGCCGGGGCACGCCUAGCGACAAUUGCAAGGUAUUCACCCGUGGGUAAGCGCGGGAAAUAAGUGUGCGGCCAUGCGCGUUUCUUCCUACGAGGGGUUAUAAGACCCUCC
rnacentral:rRNA from 1 species